rnacentral:lncRNA from 1 species
GGUUACAGGAACUAUUUUACUGAGCCAUCACAACUUAUUGAGCAAUCACAUCUUGUUUGUAACAUAGUCAAACAUAUAGGCAACAAUAUUGAAGUCCAUUGUAGAUCACCACAAAUCAAUCACACAUGCAAGGUUUUAGUAACAAGAUGAAGAAACCACUAUUGGAUGUUAAUUUUCCUACUUUGCAUAAGGUUGCCAUUUUCUAUCCCCUUAGUAACAAUCUUAGCAAUAAUGAAAAUUGACUGUAACUUCGAAAGUGGAAAGCACAGGUACGACCUGGCCUUGUUGGUAAGGUUCAGGAGUGUUGUCAACAUAUUUUUUGGGAAAUGGUACAAGAAAACAGAGACUGCUUAUAACAAGGCUUGGGGCAUGUCUGGUUUCCAGCCACAGUUUGCCACACCUGACAAUAUUCAAACAAAAUAUUUCAUGUGUGUCUUCCAGAGUAGAACACCAGAAUGGUCUGUUUGUUGAAUGGAUAAUUAUCAUUCACAAAUGAUAUUGUGUGUGCUUGAGUUCGAAGAGUUCUCAAAACUGACUUAUUCAAGACAAACUGGACUGAAGUGAUAAAAACAAGGACGCGGUGUCAUACAGGCUACCAAUACACACAAAAACUGCCCCUCAAACAGGCAACCAUCUAAGCAAACUAAAGCAUUGUUCAGAUCUGUCACUGGUGCUGUUUAAGUGGUCAUCACUGAUCAAAUUGCUCAGUCGCCAAUUCAUGCAUGUGGGGCUGACCACUGUACCACGUAAGUGUGGUGGUCCCUUUCACACACACAGAGGGAGAGAGGGAUACCAGAGGGGGUGUGGGGGUGCUGCUGCCUCUGAAUGAAUUAGGCAAUCACACUACCUUAUGUUUGUAUUUGAGCAACAGUCAAGUUUUUCACAUACUUCAACCUGCCUCGUGAGUUGUUGUACCUCUGGUGCAAUUUGUGCUGCUGCCGGGCAUUAAGGCUGUGUUUGGUUGAGCUGGAAAGUGGGGGGUACCCCGAGCUUUGAAAUUUACACUAGGAAGAAGCUAUAGAUUCUCAAAAGCUGCUUUGAACAUUUACCCCUUUGGUUAGCUUUUAGCUUUUCAAAGCAGAAGUUGGUAACAAAAGCUGAACCAAACACAGCCUAAAUAUGUUGGCACUGUUAAAUGCUGUGAGAAUAGCCAACAGGUGCAAUUUCGACCCACCCACCCCCCCACCCCCCAAAGUUAGGAACCCCGAGCUUUGAAAUUUACACUAGGAAGAAGCUAUAGAUUCUCAAAAUCUGCUUUGAACAUUUACCCCUUUGGUUAGCUUUUAGCUUUUCAAAGCAGAAGUCGGUAACAAAAGCUGAACCAAACACAGCCUAAAUAUGUUGGCACUGUUAAAUGCUGUGANUUCACAUACUUCAACCUGCCUCGUGAGUUGUUGUACCUCUGGUGCAAUUUACCGUUAUCAAAAUAAUAAUGCUGACCUACAUUGCAGUGAUAUGGGUACGUAAAUACAUCAUUUUUGAAAAGCACCAAUACAGGGAUAUGUUUUGACUAUUUUGGAAAUAAUAUAAAAAAAAUAUGUCAUCAAAUAAGCAUCAAGCCAUUUAGCAUAUACUUAGUCAGUGCAGUCCAUUAUCUUUGAAGUGCAAAAACGUCUUAGAUUUAGGAUAGAGGUAGUGGGAGAGCUAUUUUGGCUCUGGGGUGCACGUGCUCCCUGAUGAACAGUAAAUUCAAAUAAAAUAGUAAGUAAAUUUUAAAAAUUCUGAUUUUUUUUGUAGAUGUUCUUGUUAGUGUAACAAGCGUGCUCGACAAUUUUCAUGCGAAACGGGAUAGCAAUGCUUCGUCGGUGAAAAAACCAAAAAUAUGUGUAACAUUUGGUGUUCAACUUGUUUAUUUUGCGCAAGACAAAAUGAUUAAGCUUACCCCCUAAUUUGCAGGUAGCAUUUUGGUGUGACAAUGAAUGCAAGUAUUUUUUUUCAAAUUCUUUCAACAUUUGCAGGAAACAUUUUUAGUGCGCAGGAGCAUAUGCUCCCAAGAGCCGAGUUGCAUUUUCCCAGAGGUAGUAAGAAUUGCAUUUCCCCAGAGGUAGUAUCUUUUUAUCCAUGAUUCCAAUAAAAGCAAGAACCAACGGCCAAAGGGUAGCAGCAAUUUACCAAACAUAAAAUUCAGUUAGAGAGAAAGGGAUGGGGAGGAGGAAAUCAGCAGACAUCCAUUAGAUAGAAUUCUACAGGAUAGUGGGGUUAUCGGGGACGUAUCGGAUAUGGUAUCCGAUACGGAUAUGUUGGUUGAUGGAAGCAUCAGUGUUUUCUUGAUGCUGACCAACAAAUUAUUAAUUCCAAGGUGUGUGAAUAGCCGAAGGCAUCGUAGAAAAGCCAAAUUUGCGAACAAAUGCUAGUAUGUGUCAUUAAUGAAAGGAUUGCCAGAGUUAAGGAAGUUACAUGAUCAUUUGUAGUGGUGCUCGCAGGUGCUUCGUCUUUGUCCCCGCCAGGAGGGCCAGCUUCAGGCUUUCGUCCUUCUUUGAGAGCUUUUCUAAUUUCAGCAGCUUUCCAGAUGGCAUAUUUUUGCUUCUGCUCCAGCUGUUAAAGGACAGUUAAAGCAUAUGUACAUGCAUAUAUUUUGAAAAUUUGACAUUACAUAGUAAAAUUGUAGACAACAGCAUAUUAGGCUUAAAUUAAGAUUUAUUUACAGAUGUAGACAUCACCAUAUUACACUUACAUCAGGUUGAAGCUCACCAAACUGACUGAGAAUCUCAAAAAAGAUGCUGGCGGCAUAGAAGGUUUUUGCAGUGUUUCUGCAAAAUGUGAAGUGCAUUAGUGAGACUACAAAUAGCUAAGCCUGAUAUGACUGAAGUAGAAUAAGAAUAGUUCAGUACAAUACAUGUCAGCUCGUCCAGCACGAUCCUGUUUGUCUGCUUUAGCAAAGACACUUGAUGCAAACCCCUCCAAAUGAAGAUGGUCAUCGGGCCCCAAGGUCAAAGAUUUCUUAUCCUGGAGGAUGCAGAACUUAAUUAGGAAUACAAUCUGAGAAAAAGAAACUUACCAAUCUAUAAUGUAGCAGAUCAAGGGUAUGAUAUAAAGGAUUGUUAUGUUACUUCAAAACAUGCAAGCGAUCGAGUGGCAACCCUUAAAAUCACAAGCCCAAAAUCAAUCCAAUCACAGAACACUACCGCCCCAUUUGAAACCCAGUGGGUGGCAUCAAACUGGCCACAAGACCAUGGAGAAAACAGAACAAAAACUUACACUAAUACUGAUCCAUUGGAAUUCAAUGUCAAUGGAAGAUCAACACAUAUUGCUGAGUGGUUCCAUUACUUGAUUACGAGAAUCGGUAUGAAUUCAGGUGGAAUCUAUUCCUAUAUAUGUUUCCAACAAUGGAAACAUGGGACUUCAUAAAGUAUUCAUUGCAGUGCACUUAUAUGCUAACAGCAAAAUGCCAAAAUCACCAUACCACUCAAAUGAUUUAUAUACCCUUAUUCUUCUUAUAGGCAGUCACAUAACUGGUUGCUAAUCAAAACAAAAUACAUCUACGUUCGCGUGCCCAAACCCUCAAUGCGACGAACGCAACAGAUCCAGACUAAAUUAGAGUCCACAACUGCUUAGUUUCCCCACUAAUAAGAGAACAAGCGAAAGUAAAAGGGGAAGGAUGCGUACGAUACCUUCUCGAGCUGGUUGAUGAGGGAGACGAGGAUGGAGUUGGUCAUCUUGGUGCGCUCCUUCUGCGGGAUCACCAACCCCUUCUCCAUCGCGUACAACCGACCUGCUCAAACCAAAUCCGAAUCUCAGACAGAACCCUAGCAAUCAGCGGCGAUUCACGGCGAUCGCCGCGAGGCGGAUAGAUAGACGGCGGGGCGUCGUCGCUCACAAUAGUAGGCGACGAGGGGCUCGUGCUUCUGCAGCUCGUCGGCGCGCUGCAGGUAGGGCAGCAGCCCCUUGGCCGGCUCCGUGCCGCUGCCCAUCGGCCGCGGUGGUGACGGCGGCCUCGCUGCUGGAGAGGGCGGCGGAGGGGGUGGGGUGGAGAUUGGGGGUUUGGGUUCGGGGAGGCGGCGAUUUGGUUGGGUUUAGUUCGAUUUGGGUAGGUUUUCUGCUCUGGGAGUCGUUGCGCGGAUGCCGCGACUUCGUCAGGAAGGAACCGCAGAGGUGGGGUGGGAGGGAGGAAAGGAGAAGCUUCUUUCCGAUCGUGGGGGUGGGCCGGUGGGGCUGGAUUUUUACGCGAAGGUUCCUCGCAUUGCUGUGCAUUUGCACCCAGCUCCUUCCGUGCUCUCGCUCGCCGACCGUCUGAUCCCGAAAGGUCUGGGAAAGUAUACCGUUAACAUAGGGCCGUCCUUGGGAAUGUACUCUUUUACACUUGAGCUUAAAUGAAGCUCGGAAAAACAGUAAAUUCAAAUAAUAUUUUCAAAAUGUUUAAAAAAAUCUUAUUUUUUACAGUAAAUUUUGACAAAUAUUUUUAUAAAUCAUAAUUUUUUAGGGGGAAUGCUAAGAUGGACACUUAAGGAAUUAAAAUUAACCUCGUAAAAUAUAAGAAGGAUUAGUGCGCUUGCCGUCAAAACUCCUAAUGCUAACUGCUAAAUUACAUGCGUUAGCGCUGCUCAAUUCCACUUUUUUUCAUCUCUUGCACAACUAAUCGCUAACAUCAUGCAUGAUGGGGUCAUAGUCCUAGGGUAGGGUCAUAGGCCUCUCAUGUAGGUCCUACCNUCAGGCUUAUACCCACGACAGUUGGCGCCUACCUUCGGGCAGGCUUCUAAGCGACUUCCGUCGAGUUUGCGACUACUUCCUUUCGUCAUGUCGUCCGGUGGAGAUUCGAGCAUGGGUCCCCAGAUCUUCUUCGGCGCUCUCUCCUUCAUCGUCGAAGAUUCGGCGUGGCUUCGGGAUGCGCCCCUCGACGUCGAGGCGCUUCCCCGUCGCGGGGCUACGCACUUCCGUGCCGGUGCCCGCGGCAUUCUUCUUCUCCAGCAGUCGGCUCCGGUGUCGACCUACACCGUCGUCACGCGCCGCGUCAAGCGGUCCCGCCGUCCGCGGCUCCAACGUUGGGUGCAACACGCCCAGGCGCGCCAGAACGCAUCUUCACAAGUGGUGGUUCUAGAGUCAGUUGUGGUUGCCCCGCUGUCCCAGCGCUCGGGCUCGGUUCCGACUGAGUUUCUUUCCAAGUACGCGGGUCACGGGCCUGCAGCCGAAGUACACAUGGCCAAUUCCCAUGAAGAUCCCCCGUCAGGCUGGCCGGAACGAGCACGAGAUCGGCGAAGCGUCCGGCGCGCGUCGUCCACCUCGCCGUUCUGCUAGUCGGCACACUCGGCGGAGCAACGUGGAGCUGUUUCGCACACCCCUCCUCAACUUGGCUGCGGCUGCCAAGAUAGCCGAUUCCCUCCAGCCGACUGAUUCAGAGGCAGGAAGGGGGAUCGAGCAGAUCCGAGCCCAGUUGCACACGGCGCAGCAGCAGAAUUCGGCGGUCUUCCAGUCACACAACCGGAUCUAUAAUAGUUCCGUCCACGCGAAUACGCAUCGGUCGGUUCACGACCCAGGUUCCCAUCAGCAGCACAGAGGAGGCAGCCGUUCCAUAAAUCACGAAGAUCGCCACCGUUCACGCACCCCUCCGCGGGGUGGGCCCUACGGGCCCCGACAUCAUGAUGAUCGGCGUUCAGCCGGUGACACUUACGACCCAAGGCCCGACGCAAGAGGGCAUAUCGCCCAGCGGAGGGUCGACAGGGGUCGGGCCCACCGCGAUGGUCGCGAUAUCGACCGUCCGAGUGGAAGCAGGGCCACCGUUUCUGGCCCCGAGUGUUUCAGUCGAGCCAUCCGUUCGGCUGACAUCCCUCCCAACUUCCGAUUGGCGACGGGAAUUAGCAAGUUCACAGGAGAGUCCAAGCCAGAAACGUGGCUGGAUGACUACCGAGUGGCAGUCCAGAUCGGAGGAGGGGACGACCAUGUCGCCAUGAAGCACCUCCCUCUGAUGCUCGACGGCUUGGCGCGAGCGUGGCUGAACCAGUUGGCCCCCUCAAGCAUCUACAGUUGGGCAGAUCUGGCCCGAGUGUUUAUCAGGACCUUCGAAGGGACGUGCAAGCGCCCUGCUGGCCUUGUGGAGCUCCAGCACUGCGUCCAGAAGCAAAAUGAGCCCCUGCGUGACUUCAUCCAGCGCUGGACAACUCUCUAUCACACGGUGGAGAACGUCACCGAGCAUCAAGCAGUCUGCGCCUUCAAGGCAGGCGUGCGGUACAGGGAUCUGUACCUGAAGUUCGGCCGAACAGGCGACAUCUCCAUGAGCAAGAUGAUGGAGAUAGCAACACGCUAUGCAAAUGGUGAAGAAGAGGACCGCAUCCGAAGCGGCAAGCACAAAACAGUCGCUGAUGGCGAUGAGGGCAACACUCGGAAGCAGAAGCAGAAAGCUCCGACCGCUCCGCAAGCAGAAGCUGCAGCCGUAACCAAUGCCAAGUUCAAGGGCAAAGGGAAGGCUCAGUUCACCCCUAAGAAGAAGCAGUUCAAUAAUCCCAUCCUGGACCAGCCAUGUCCGGUUCAUACGAAGAUGGAUGAAGAAGGCAACCCCAUAUAUGCGAAGCAUACCACUCGACAGUGUCGCCUCCUGAUCCAGGGGUUCAGCGAAGGGCAACCGAGUGAGAAGGACCAUGAACAGGAUGAGGAGGAUAAGGAGGAUCCGUUCCCCCAAGUCCAUGCAACCCUGAUGAUCUUUGCUGACGUCGAGAGCAAGAGCCGACUGAAGCUGGUGAACAGAGAGGUGAACAUGGCCACCCCUACCAACCCCAAGUUCCUCAAAUGGUCUCAGACUGCGAUCACCUUCGACCAGUCGGAUCAUCCGGCACAUGUACCCACCCCGGGAAGACAGGCCCUGGUCGUCGACCCGGUGGUAGAAGGAGUCCGACUGCGCAAAGUCCUCAUGGAUGGCGGCAGCGGCUUGAACAUCAUGUACGCCGACACCCUCAAGGGGAUGGGCAUCCCGAUGUCCAAACUCAGCGAGAGCGGCAUGCAGUUCCACGGAGUCGUCCCUGGACGGAAGGCCAAAUCACUCGGCCAGAUCGCGUUGGACGUCGUUUUCGGCUCCGACAAGAACUUCCACAAGGAAAAGCUGACGUUCGAAGUGGUUGACUUCCAGAGCGCUUAUCACGCAAUUCUGGGUCGCCCAGCGUAUGCGCACUUCAUGGCCCGUCCAUGUUACGUAUACCUGAAGCUGAAGAUGCCAGGCCCGAAGGGUGUGAUCACCAUCACAGGCAAUCGGCAGCGGGCUGAAGAGUGUCUGCAGCAGGGAUCAAGAAUCGCCGACCAGCAGAUGGUCGUCCUCGAGCUGGACGAGUACAAGAAAACAGUCGACCCCGCCGACCUGAUGCGCUCGAAGAAGCCAGCUUCAGAGUCUGCAUUUCAGUCGGCGGGAGAGACGAAGAAGGUCAACAUCCACCCGACGGACGCCACUGCUGCUCCGAUGAACAUCUCCACCACCAUCGAUCCUAAAUAGGAAGCCGAGCUCACCCAAUUCCUCCAUGAGAACUGGGACAUCUUCGCAUGGAAACCCUCCGACAUGCCAGGUGUACCCAGGGAGUUGGCUGAGCACCGACUGCAUGUGGAUUCCACGGCUCAGCCUGUCCAAGAGCGCGUGCGCCGGUCCACCGCGCACAAGAGGAAGGCAAUCGGGGAAGAGGUGGCCAAGCUGCUGGCAGCCAACUUCAUUCGCGAGGUUCACCACUCCGAGUGGCUCGCCAAUGUUGUCAUGGUGCCCAAGCAGGACAAGUCGCUCUGAAUGUGCAUCGACUUCAAGCAUCUCAAUAAGGUCUGCCCGAAAGACCAUUUUCCGCUCCCCCGCAUAGAUCAAAUUGUCGAUUCGACUGCGGGUUGCGAGCGUCUGUCAUUUCUCGAUGCCUACUCGGGCUAUCAUCAGAUCCGUCUGUAUGGUCCUGAUGAGUUAAAAACAGCCUUCAUCACCCCAUUCGGGUGCUUCUGCUACAUCACUAUGUCGUUCAGUCUGAAGAAUGCAGGAGCUACCUUUAUGCGCAUGAUCCAAAAAUGUCUCCUCGAUCAGAUCGGUCGGAAUGUGGAGGCGUAUAUGGAUGAUAUCGUAGUCAAGUCACGCAAAGGUUCCGACCUGCUGACUGACUUGGCAGAAACAUUCGCCAACCUUCGUAGGUACGAUAUCAAGCUCAACCCCGCCAAAUGUUCAUUCGGCGUUCCCAGCGGAAAGUUACUCGGUUUCUUCGUCUCCGAACGAGGGAUCGAUGUCAACCCCGAAAAGAUCGGGACCAUCGUCCGAAUGGAGAGGCCGGCCCGAAUACACGAUGUUCAACGGCUCAUAGGUUGCCUAGCGGCUUUGAGCAGGUUCAUCAGUUGACUCGGCGAAAAAGCACUUCCUCUGUACCGACUCAUGAAGAAAUCAGAUACUUUCGAGUGGACAGAUGAAGCCCAAGUCGCAUUCAACGACCUCAAAGUCCUACUUUUCACCCAGUCGGUUCUUACUGCUCCGCUCAGUAAAGAGCCCUUUCUUCUGUAUAUCGCGGCUACAAAUCAAGUCGUCGGUACUGUUCUUACAGUCGAACGAGAAGAAGAAGGCAAAGCAUACAAAGUUCAGUGGCCAGUGUACUACAUCUCCGAAGUCCUGACUCCUUCCAAGCAGAGGUAUCCCCACUAUCAAAAACUUAUCUACGGGAUUUACAUGACUGCGAAGAAGGUGGCCCAUUAUUUCCAAGACCACUCGGUGUCUGUCGUUUCUGAUGCUCCAUUGUCGGAAAUUCUCCACAAUCGAGAUGCGUCAGGCCGAGUGGCGAAGUGGGCGAUGGAGAUGUUGUACUGCGAUAUCAAGUUCGAGGCCAAGAAAGCUAUUAAGUCUCAAGCUCUGGCUGACUUCAUAGCAGAAUGGGUAGAACAACAGCAACCGACCCACAUCUGCUCGGCCCAUUGGACAAUGUUCUUCGAUGGGUCCAAGAUGUUGAAUGGCUCCGGCGCUAGCGUUGUGAUCAUAUCACCAAAGGGCGACAAGCUCAAGUACGUGCUACAGAUACACUUCGAUUCCUCCAACAACGAGGCAGAGUAUGAAGCUCUCCUCUACGGGUUGCGUAUGGCCAUCUCACUCGGCGUCCGUCGCCUGAUGGUCUACGGCGAUUCGGAUUUGGUGGUCAAUCAAGUGAUGAAAGAGUGGGACGUUAGAAACCCCGCCAUGACUACAUACUGCAAUGCAGUGAGGAAGCUUGAGAAGAAGUUUGAAGGUCUAGAACUUCAUCAUGUUCCGAGACUGAAGAACCAAGCAGCUGAUGAGUUAGCAAAACUCGGAUCCACUCGGAGACCAGUCCCGAGUGACGUCUGCCUCGAGCACCUCCACCUUCCCUCAGUCAAAGAAGAUCCUUUCACAGAGGAGCUGACACAACCAAAGAGUUCAACGGAUCCGACUGAAGUCGAUGUACCUGCUGUGGUUGACCUGGUCAUGGAGAUUCUUGCCGUCAUCCCCGAUUGGACUGUGCCGAUCAUUGCAUAUAUCCUGAGGCAAGAACUACCGGAAGACGAAGUCCAGGCCAGGCAGAUAGUCCGCAGGUCGAAGUCGUUCACUGUUAUUGAUGGCCAAUUGUACAAAGAAAGUAUCUCUGGCGUUCUUCAACGAUGCAUCUCCCCAGAGGAGGGGCAGCUGAUUCUGGAGGAUAUCCACUCGGGGACCUGCGGUCAUCACGCUUCUUCGAGAGCAAUCGUCGCCAAGGCAUUCAGGGCUGGUUUCUUCUGGCUGUAGGCUAACGAGAUGGCUAAAGAUAUGGUUGACCGAUGUGAGGGCUGCCAGUUCUACUCCAACAAGUCCCACAAGCCGACGUCUGCGUUGAAGACGAUCCCUCUUGUGUGGCCGUUUGCAGUGUGGGGAUUAGACACAGUCGGCCCAUUCAAGACAGGCCAAGGUGGAUACACACAUCUGUUGGUGGCAGUCGACAAGUUCACGAAAUGGAUCAAAGCGAAGCCCACCAAGAAGCUCGAGCCUCAACAGCCGUCAAGUUUGUCAGGGACAUCAUCUUCAGAUUCGGUGUACCUCACAGCAUAAUCACGGACAACGGGACAAACUUUGACUCGGACAGAUUCAAAGGUUUCUGUACAAGCCAAGGCAUCCGAGUGGAUCUUGCUUCCGUAGCGCAUCCUCAGUCCAAUGGACAAGCAGAGCGGGCAAACGGACUUAUUUUGCAAGGUUUGAAGCCCCGACUCCUGCGAGAGAUAGGACAUGCCGCUGGCGCUUGGGUUACCGAGCUACCUUCAGUGCUUUGGGGACUUCGCACAACCCCGAACAGAUCUACAGGGCGAUCACCGUUCUUCCUCGUUUAUGGAGCAGAAGCGGUCCUUCCGAGUGACUUGCUUCACAAUGCGCCACGAGUCGAACUCUUCUCCGAAGCCGAAGCAGAACAAGCAAGGCAAGACGGAGUGGAUCUCCUGGAGGAGGAGCGCGAGAUGGCACUAACUCGCUCGACCAUUUAUCAACAAAAUUUGCGGUGUUUUCAUGCACGCCACGUCAGAAGUCGCACGUUCCAAGCAGGCGACCUGGUGCUCCGAGUGGAUCAGCAAAGACCUCACAAGUUGGCUCCGGCCUGGGAAGGACCCUUCAUCAUCUCCAAGGUGCUGAACAACGGAGCAUACAGACUCUACAACAUCGAGAGGGAGACAGACGAGCCGCGUGCAUGGAACGGAGAUCUCCUGAAGCGCUUCUACACGUGGCCGUCGACUGAAGCAAUGUAAAGAACAAGUAUUGGUGAAAUAAUAUAAAGAAGAUUGAGUUUUUUGCAAGUUCAAAGUUCUUCCACGGUCGCAGACUCCGGUCUCAAAAAAAAAAACUUAGCUGCGAUCCAGAAUCGCCUAAGUAUUAACCUUCUCCGAGUGUGCACUUCACGUCACACUCNNNNNNNNNNNNNNNNNNNNNNNNNNNNNNNNNNNNNNNNNNNNNNNNNNNNNNNNNNNNNNNNNNNNNNNNNNNNNNNNNNNNNNNNNNNNNNNNNNNNUCUCCGAGUGUGCACUUCACGUCACACUCAGGAGCUUAGCUGCGAUCCAGAAUCGCCUAAGUAUUAACCUUCUCCGAGUGUACUCUUAACGUCACACUCGGAGACUUAGGGAAUUCCACAGACCCUCAAUGAGGCUCAUGCAGAUGUCAAAACAAUCGACAUGUUCCGAAUGUUUGCCUUUGGCUUCACGAAGAAACGCCAAACAAAAACUCGAGUCAACAUUGCAACAGAAGAGCAAAAGAAUCAAUUCAAAGUUCAACCAAAGAUACUGGCUCGGUGUGGAUCAAGCUUACCCACACCAAACCAAGAAUGUGAAGGCUAACAGAAGUGGCCAAAGUUUCUUACAGAUCCACACUCGGCAUACCGAGGAUAAAAGUGUUUUUACGCUUCAUCUGGAUUAACACCAGGACUGGAGGGCUCUACGAACGUGUCCAGAUCAAUACCGUCGGCGAUGCGGGUGGCGCUUUCAAGGAAGGUUUCCAUGAAGUCUUCGAAUUGAAGUUUCUUCGUGUUGGCCACCUUCAACGUCUUCAACUUCUCCUUGCGCACCUCCUUUCAAUGGACUCGGACCAGGGACAGAGCAACAUCUACACCGCAACGAGCUGCAGAUUUCGUCCACGACUGCACUCGGUUGGGAAUCUCCUCCAGUCGGGUCAUCAGGUUCUCCAUCUCCUGCCGCGACUCAUCUUCUGGCCAAAGCUCCUUGUCAAUUUGGCCGACGACUUCUCUCAGUCGACCGAUGAAAGGACCAACUUUGCCCACGCGGAUGUGCGCACGGAGCAGAUCCCGAUUGGCGUCGUCGCCGAGUGGAACGUUCUCAAGAAUCGACCGCUCCACGUCAGUUGCUUCAGCUUCGGCGUCAAAGCAAAAAUCUGCGACAAUAGGACAAACAGACAAUAAGUGCCACAGUGUGACGCGCAUAACACAACCACUCAGAAAAAGCAGGACUUACCAGCCAGACGAGUCAUCAUCUGCCGAGCCCAGUCGCUGACAUAUUUCUCCUGUGCCCUGCAUCGUUUGUUCAGCACGUCCAUCUGACCCAUCAGAGCAGUCCUCUGUUUCCCCAUCUUUUCCACUUCCUCAGUCAACACCUUGUUCGCUUCCCGAGCCUGCUCCAAUGACUUCUCUCGUCCCUCCAGAGCAUCCUUCAUGCCAGCCAUUGCGAGCAUGGCCGCAUCAAGCUCACCAGCGAGCUGAUUCCUCUCCGCCUUGAGAGUCUCAUAGGCUGAUCCCAUUUCACAGGUUUUCUGCCACCAAACACCAAGGGACAAUCAGAAAAUUCAACAAUAAAAGUCUAAGUUCUUCAGACCCCUGCCGACGCAAGCAGUCGACAGCGGUCUCGGGGACUACACCCAGUGGGUUCACUAAGAGUGACCCCACUGGCAUGCCACUCAAGCAGGCCCGCCCUAUUGAGCUGCAUGUUACCACCUACGCCUACGAGGCCAAUACUACCCGACCCGAGUACAACUUACUCUCGGAGACUCUUACAGAAAAUGCACUCCGAGUGCCACAACUGCUAGCAGUCGGUCAUGUUAUUUACAGACCUGACCAAAGCAAAGACAAUAUGUAUAAAGACAACUGCCGGUGCAAGCACUCGACAGAAGUCUCAGGGACUACACCCACUGGGUUCACUCAGAGUGAACCCAUUGCAAACAACAGCUGUUAUCCAAAAAACACCCAGUGGGUUACAAGAGAAAAGUAAAUACUUACUAGCCCACUUACUCGGAUAUCAUCCCGCAGCUCCAGGCUCCGCUGGUACAAGGACGCGACGGAGUCGUAGGCCCUCUUGGCCUCCCCAGCCAUCAGCUCCGCCUGCACCAUGGCUCCCUUGGCCGCUCCCACCUGCUCCUCCGGGAGACGCUAGAUGUUGAACUCGACAUUCGACGAGCCUGGCAUCGUCGGAAGCUCCUGAGGCAUCCUGAGGUCCGCUCCAGUCGGCACCUCAACCACCAGCGCCGGUUCAGUCGGCGGCAAUGCCUCAAUCGGCGGCACGUUGGCGGCGAGAGCAGCAACAGGCGGAGCGGCCUCAAGAACGGGCUCCGCAGCCUGUUCAGCUCUCCCCUGAUCGCCUUCGUCCACGCAAAUCGCCCCUGAUAGACCGAACGACGCAAGAUCUCAGAAAAGAAAGAGGCAGAACCUAUGAUAGAAUAAAACACUCGAAGUCACUACAACGCACCUGGCUGGGACGAGACGACGUUGUCCGUGUCCAUGAGGUCGUCUUCUUGGCGCGCCGGAGAGGUGGCAGAAGUAGCAACUCUGUCGAGUGAAAUCCAUUUGACCAAUGAACAAGAAUUCACUCGGAUAUCAGAAGAAAUUAGAAGAUCGAUACACUUACGUGGAGGUGACGGGGACAACAACCCUCAUCCGCGGCAGAGCCUUCCGAGGUUUGGACCCACUCGGUUUGGCCGCCUUGGAAGACUGACCCGCAGGUUCAGCGGCGGCAUCCCUGGCCCUUUUGGUGCUCCGAGCACUCGGGACCACCGGGGCAGUAGGCGGAGCACUCGAAGAUGCUGGAGGGGCCGAGGGAACGGCAGGCUCGUGUCGGCGCUUGGUCCAAUGCUCUGUUUGCGGAGGCGGAGAGCCCUGCUCUUCGUCUUCCUCCUCUUCCUCGCUGGUCUCUUCCUCCGACUCCCCGCUGUAGGAGACAUAUUCAGCGCUCUCCAUGCUGCCCUCCUGGCUGCCUUCCUCCUCCUCGGCCGGGUUCCCGUUCGAGACGGGAGAAAACCAGUUGGUCCACUCCUGCAUAAAAUUCAGUCGGCGACAUCAGACGUUGCAUAGAGAUUCAAGCAAAUGAUAAGAUUAAGACAGUUAGGAGCACUCGACAAGUGCCACUCACCUGAUUUGGAGGAGGAUUAUCCGCGCAGAAGGGCUUCACUCGCCGAGAUCCUUUGGGAUUCUUGCAGGGGCCUGUGAUCUGGAGCACCCACGAGGUCACCCUCUCCUCAGUCACGCCCACAACUUUGGUCCGAGUGAAUCCUCGAGCCCCGUAUAAUGCCACAUGGCGUGGUCGCGAGCCUGUAGGGGCUGGAUACGCCGACCAAGGAAGACCUCCAGCAAGUCUAUGCCAGUGACCCCCCUCCUGACGACAUCUACGAGCGCCCCGACCAGAGGCUGGAUGUCGUUCUUCUCCGCCCUCGUGAGCGCGAGUUGCUUAGGUGGGGCGGGCCGAUCUAAGCUAAAGGGAGGCAGCCCUGUCGAAGCAUUCGGGCAGGCGAUAUCCUGGCAGUAGAACCACGUCGACUGCUAGUUCCUGACCGACUCACUUAGCUGGAGGGCAGGAUAACUGCUCCGACUCUUUUUCUGGAAACCGAGGCCCCCGCAGAGCUGGAGAAGAUGUGUUUUAUCAUCCGACUGGCUAAGUCGUUUGAUGGUCUGGGAUCUAGCAGAAAAUAUGUGCUUGAACAGCCCCCAAUGGGGAGGACAGCCAAUGAAACACUCGCACAGAACUAUAAAGGCAGAGAGAUGAGCAAUGGCGUUCGGGGGAAAGUGGUGAAGUUGUGCCCCGAAGUGAUUCAUGAUGCCCUUGAAGAAAGGAUGCGGGGGCAAGGAGAAACCUCGAUAGACGUGGCUGAGCAGCAGGACGUGCUCCCCCUCCCGAGGCGCUGACUCGACCUCGUUCUCCGCCGGCAGCCUCCAGGACUUGUGGACGAUCAUCCCGUGCUCCACCAGCUGCAGCAGAUCCCCCUCCGUCACCAUGGAGGGGAGGAAGUCGCCCUGGAUCCAUCCCGCCGGCAGUGGCCGCUGCCGCCGCUGAGCAGGCGCCUCCGUCUUCCCCUUCUUCUUCCUCGCCUCCAUCUUGCUGGUCUGGCCCUUGGUCAUGGCGGCAGCUGCGAGCCCUCGGGAGGAAGGAGAAGGGAGGAGUAUAGGAGCGCUGGAGGUGGCGAGAAGGGCGGAGCAGACGAGAGCAAGGGAUUCGGCGCGCGUAACGGAGAAGCCUCGCCACCAAGAUUUAAAUAGGGUUCCGACUGGGUCGCUGGCAGGUGGCCCCGAAAACUUAUCCCCCUGACCCACCGCGGCGAUAUUAGUGGAGAGGUUGAAGGCGCGAGAAUCGAGGCGUCAGGCGCUACUCGAGCGCGCUGGCGUCAUCCCCGCUGAGCGCGCGGAACCCGAAAUUUGAGAUCCCGGAAAAUCCGCUGUUGUUAGUUGACCGGUCGCGUCAAAAGAUGUCGCAGAAGCACUCGGCUUCCGACAGUCUGUUUCGCGAGUACUUCCACUCGGAUCGUUGGUCAGAAAAGAUAAAAUGGAUCGGGGCAGGCAACGCCCAAGCCAAAUCUGUUCCAGUCGGAUCCAAACUUCAAGCACCGCUUCGUCGUUUCAACCUCAAUCCAUUCGGGGACUAAUGAUGGGGUCAUAGUCCUAGGGUAGGGUCAUAGGCCUGUCAUGUAGGUCCUACCNUCAGGCUUAUACCCACCACAAUGCACGUUAACAAAUGACUAAGCGCUCAGUUCCUUUAUUUGCACCGAUGCGAGGCCACGCGCCACGAUUCGGUGGCUUAACUGCCCAUCGACCAAGAUAUUGAUCCUAGUGCCUCGCAUUGUAGAUGCCCCUAAUGUAGGAUUAAAAGUAUGUUUACAGGGGACGGUUAGACUAUUUGACUAAAUAAAAAUUUAAUAUUUUUUUAAUUUUAUGAGUCUAUGAGUUUUACCAAUUUUGGGGGUGUUUCUUUCCAGGGACUUUUCGGUGUAGGGACUAAAAAAAGUUUCUUUUAGUCCCGUGUGAAAGAAACAGGGGGGACUUUUAGGGACUAAAAGGGGGUUUUGGGGACUAAAGGAAGAAGUCCCUAUGGGAGGGACUUUUUGGGCUUUUUUAGCUCUUUUCCCAACAAUGUCCCUACUUUUAGCAUGUCAUUUAAUAACUUCUAGUAUAUUACUAGGGUAACAUGGUCUUUUUGCAUGUCAUUUAAUGACCUCUAGUCCAUGUUUAGUCCUUGGAAAGAAACAGAUAGGGACUAGAGACUUUUUAGUUGAGACUAAAAAAAGUCCUAGGACUUUUUAAAGAAACAGGGCCUUUAUCAAGUCUAUCACACCCUAUAGAUGCAAGCCAACGAGCAUAGGAGCGUAAAAUAAAGACAUGCAAGUGUAAGUAGAGGGUAUGGAUAUGAUGAUCAAAUGCAAUGAAGACACGAAUGAUUUUUUGUAUGGUUUCGAUGGGUGGUGUUAUCGUAUGUCCAUGUUGAUGAAGACUUCAACUCAUGGAAGAUAACGGCUGCGCAAGUCCACGAAGGGCUCCACCCAUGAAGGGUUCACACAGAAGCAACCUUGGCUAUUUCAUCAUGACUUGUGUCCACGAAGGACUAGUAAAAGAUUGAUAUGGUUGACGUGAGGGGGGUGAAUAGGCAACUAACAAAUUUUAAACUUUUUUAAAACAAAUUAGGUUUAGCAACAAAUACGUUGUUAGAUAUGCAACUAGAUGAGCAACCUAUAUGAUGCUAACAACAACAAUAAUAAGCAAGAAGUAAAUACAAGUAAGGUAAGAAAUAACCACAAGUGAAACCGAUGAAGACGAGGAUGUGUUUCAUAAGUUCCUUCCCUUUGAGGGGAAGUACGUCUCCGUUGGAGCGGUGUGUAGGCACAAUGCUCCCCAAGAUGCCACUAAGGCCAUCGUAUUCUCCUCAUGCCCUCACACAAUGUGAGGUGCCGUGAUUCCACUAAGUGGUACCCUUGAAGGUGGCAGCUGGGCCUUUACAAACAAUGUUGGGGCUCUCUCCACAACUUAAUGGAGGCUCCCGACGAAACCACGAAGCUCACCGCAAUGGAAUGUGGCUCCGAGGUGACCUCUUCCAUCUAGGGUGCUCAAACACCCAAGAGUAACAAAAUCCACACAAGAAACUUGGGGGAAACAAUUUUCCUUUGGUGGAAGUGUAGAUCUAGAUCUCCUCCUUCAAUCUCUAGCAAGACAACAAGUUUGGAUGGCUAGGCGGAGAGAUCAAGCAAGAAAGCUUGGAGUGCAUAAAUGGUGGAGAGAGAGAGAAGUAAGAGAUAAGGGAGAGGAAGAAGACCCCCCCUUAUAUAGCCCCCUCCACACACACACACUUUCUAACCAUUACAGACGUUUUUACAUAGCAGCGGUUCAACCGGUUGCCAGGGCGGUACAACCGGGUUGCCUAUUUUAGCGAUACAACCGCCGAGUCACCGCCCAAUAACCAGUCCAAAACAGAAGGUUGACCAUUGGUUCCACCUGCCACGAUGAUACAUCUCCGUCAUAUCUACUUUUCCAAACUCUUUUGCCCUUGUUUUGGACUCUAAUUUGCAUGAUUUGAAUGGAACUAACCUGGACUGACGCUGUUUUCAGCAGAAUUGCCUUGGUGUUAUUUUUGUGCAGAAAUCAAAGUUCUCCAAACGUCCUGAAAAUUUACGGGGAGCAGUUUUGGAAAAUAUCAAAAAUAUCUGCGCCAAGUUUCACCUCAGGGGGUGGGCCAGUGGGCCACAAGCCCCUGCUCCGCCACCACCCCCUGGUGGCGGUGGGCAGGCUUGUGGGGCCCACAAGCACCUUCCGCCCCCAACUCUAGCUCUAUAAGUUGCCUUUCGUCCCAGAAAAAAUAAAAAGAGAGGUUUUCGUCGCGUUUUCGAUACGGAGGCGCCGCCACCUCCUGUUCUUCAUCUGGAGGGCAGAUCUGGAGUCCGUCUUGGGCUCCGGAGAGGGGAAAUCGUCGCCAUCGUCAUCAUCAACCUUCUUCCCUCUCCAAUUCCAUGAAGCUCUUCGUCGUUCGUGAGUAAUCUAUUCGUAGGCUCGUUGGGCGGUGAUGAGUAGGAUGAGAUCUAUCAUGUAAUCGAGUUAGUUUUGAUGGGGAUUGAUCCCUAGUAUCCACUAUGUUCUGAGAUUGAUGUUGCUGCUACUUUGCCAUGCUUAAUGCUUGUCACUAGGGCCCGAGUGCCAUGAUUUCAGAUCUGAAAUUAUUAUGUUGUCACCAAUAUAUGUGUGUUUUAGAUCCGAUCUUGCAAGUUGUAGUUACCUACUAUGUGUUAUGAUCCGACAAACCUGAAGUGACAAUAACCGGAACCACUCCCGGUGAUGACCAUAGUUUGAGGAGUUCAUGUGUUCACCAAGUGCUAAUGUGUUGGUCUGGUUCUUUAUUAAAAGGAGAACCUUAAUAUCCCGUAGUUUCCUUUUGGACCCCGCUGCCACAGGAGGGAUGGACAAUAAAUGGCAUGCAAGUUCUUUUCCCUAAGCAAGUAUGACGACACACGGAAUGCAUGCCUACAUCACAUUGAUGAACGGGAGCUAGCCACAUAUCUCUCCGUGUUAUAGCUAUUGCAUGAUGAAUAUCAUCCAAACAAAUCACCGACCCAUUGCCUACGAGUUUGUUCCUACUUCUGUUACUUGUGUUGCUCUGCUGCUGCUGCUACUACUGUUGCUACUGCUGUAACUUGUCUUGCUCUGCUGCUGCUACUAUUGUUCCUACUGUUGUUACUUGUCUUGCUCUGCUGCUACUGUUGCUACUACUGUCGCUUGCUACUGUUGCUACUUGCUACCGUUGUCACUACUGCUAUUCCUUGCCACUGCUAUUGCUCGUUACACUGCUGCUACCUGCUACAAUGUUGGUUCACCAGACGUUGACGGGAACUGACAACUUCCGUCAACGCGGCAACGGAGGCGCCAUUGAUACAAUCGUUAGGAAUAGCCUGCCGUCAAUAGAUCGUUUCUCACACCGUUGUUAUCAUACUACUUUGUUGUUACUACUGUGCUUCCAGAUACUAAUCUUUCAGGUGUGGUUGAAUUUGACAAAUUCAGCUGCUAAUACUUGAGAGUAUACUCUCACCUCCCAUCGUGCAAACCAACAAAUUGGGUCGAAUACUCUACCCUCAAAAACUGUUGCGAACCCACGCGUUGGUGGGCCAUCAACAACAUUCUUCUAGUCUCAUUACUGGGGAGUGCUUUCAGCAUUCUUCUGGUGCCAUUGCAGGAGAAGGUUUGUUGUCAUAAGCAUUCGUCUAGCUAACGCCAGAGAUUGCAGAUCAGCAUUUUUCUGGCGCCAUUGCCGAGGAGGUAUUGCUAUAUUCUCUGAGUUACUUGGGAUUUAUAUCUGCUGAUCACUAUGAAGAAUCUGAAGGAUCCGAAGACCAAAGUCUUGCCCUCAACUACGAGGGGAGGUAAGGAAUUGCCAUCUAGCUCUGCACUUGAUUCACCUUCAGUUAUGAGUAAGUUUGCGACUUCACCUCCUGCUAGAAAUCUUGAUAUGUCGCCCGUGCUUGAUGAUGCUUGUGAUACUACUGCUAGAGAUGCUAUGCUUGAUACUAAGCCUGAUGCUAUGCUUGAUACUGCUAGAGAUGCUAUGCCUGAUACUGUUUUGCCUGAUACUACUAGAGAUGCUAUGCUUGAUACUAUGCCUGAUGAUACUAUGCUUGAUACUGCUAGAGAUGCUAUGCUUGAUACUGCUUUGCCUGAUGAUGCUAGAGAUGCUAUUUUGCCUGAUGAUGCUAUGCUUGAUACUGCUAGAGAUACUCCUUUGCCUGAUGUUCCACUAGGAGUGUUCCUUGAUGCUCAUAUUGCUAGAGUUACUGCCAAUUCUCGUGAUGCUUCUGAAACUACCAAUACUAUUGAGAUAGAACCUGCUUUUGCUCCUGCUAGAUCUAGCUCUCCUAGAUAUGAAUUGCCUGGUAUACCUGAGGGUUACGUUAUGGAGGGAGAGAUAGCUGAGGAUUUUCUGGCGUGUAAGGAUGCCUAUGACGCUGAGAAAUUACUUCUCAAGUGGAAGGAAAAAUCUCGGGAAGCUAGGAUGAAAAAUGACCCGAAGUUUGCCACUUCGCCUAUCUUUGUCACCGAUAAGGAUUAUGAAUUCUGUGUCGACCCUGAGAUAAUCUCUCUAGUCGAAUCUGAUCCUUUUCACGUUAUGAGUCUGAGACGGUCAUAGCCCAUCUUGCCAAACUAUCCGAAAUAGCCAACCUCUUCACUAAUGAGGAGAAGAUCCGCCACUACUAUAUCCUUAAGUUGUUUCCUUUCUCUCUAAAGGAUGACACUAAAGUCUGGUUCACCUCUCUUGCUCCUGGAUGUGUGCGUAGUCCCCAGGAGAUGGUCUACUACUUCUGUGAGAAAUAUUUCCCUGCCCAUAAGAAGCAAGCUGCCUUGCAGGAAAUAUACAACUUUGCUCAACUCCAAGAAGAGAGUCUUCCACAAGCUUGGGGGAGGCUCGUCCAGCUAAAGAAUGCUUUGCCUGAUCACCCUCUUAAGAAGAACGAGAUACUUGAUAUCCUCUAUAACGGACUUACCGAUGCCUCUAGAGACCACCUAGAUAGUUGCGCCGGUUGUGUUUUUAGGGAAUGAACCGUAGAACAAGCUGAGACUCUACUGAAUAAUCUCUUGAUCAACGAUAAUGCUUGGACUAUUCCCGAACCACCUCCUAAGCCAACUCCGAAGAAAAGAGGUAUUCUAUUCCUCAGUCUCGAAGAUAUGCAAGAAGCCAAGAAAUCUAUGCAAGAGAAAGGCAUUAGAUCUGAAGAUGUCAAAAACCUACCCCCUAUCGAAGAGAUCCAUGGUCUCGAUAACCCGAUACAGGUAGUAGAAAUGAAUUCUCUGCGUAGGUUUGAUGAGAGUGAUAUUCCUUUUGAUAAACCUGCUAGCCUAUGCUUUGAUGAAUUUGACAACUUUGUUGCCAAACAACAGAGUUUCAAUGAUUAUGUUAGCAGACAUUUGGAACAAAGUACUCGUAUGCUUAGCCAUUUAAGUGCUUGUGUAGACAGAAAUGUCAAUGCUCUGAACCUUCUGAGUAAACAUGCCUCUAUGAUUACUACUCAGGUAGAACAAGUACUUAAAGCUUAGAAUGACCUGCUCAAUGAAUUAAAUGACAACUCUGUCAGAGUCAUUAUUAGAGGAGGCAAAAUGACACAGGAACCUUUGUAUCCUGAAGGUCAUCCUAAGGGAAUUGAUCAAGAUUCUCAAGGAAUCAAUGCUGAUACACCUAGUCAUCCUAAGGAGAAGAAGGAUGAUAGAAACCUGCACGCCAGUUCACCAAAUACUGCCACACCUGAAGAACCUAAUGAUAUUUCUGCAUCUGAUGCGGAAACACAAUCAGGUGAUGAACAUGAACCCGGUGACACCAUGAACAGUGAUGUUCAUAAUAAUGCUCAACCUAGCCAUGAUGAGGAUGUGGAGAUUGAACCUACGGUUAAUCCUGAUAACCCACAACCUAAGAAAUACGACAAGAAUGACUUCACUGCUAAGAAGCAUGGUAAAGAAAGAGAGCCAUGGGUUCAGAGACCUAUGCCCUUUCCUCCUAAGCCAUCCAAGAAAAAGGAUGAUGAGGAUUUUGAGCACUUCGUUGAGAUGAUAAGACCCGUCUUUCUGCAGAUGCGGUUAACUGAUAUGCUCAAGAUGUCUCCGUAUGCCAAGUACAUUAAAGAUAUCGUGACUAAUAAACGGAAGAUACCGGAUCUUGAGAUCUCCACCAUGCUUGCCAACUACACUUUCAAAGGUGGAACUCCAAAGAAACUUGGUGAUCCCGGAGUGCCCACUAUACCUUACUCCAUUAAAGGAAACUACGUAAGAACUGCCUUAUGUGACCUUGGAGCCGGUGUUAGUGUUAUGCCGCUCUCUCUUUAUCGUAGACUUGAAUUGGAUAAGUUGACACCCACUAAAAUCUCUCUGCAAAUGGCCGACAAAUCAACUGCUUUCCCUAUCGGCAUUUGCGAGGAUGUGCCUGUUGUGGUUGCUAACACCACUAUCUUAACAGACUUUGUUAUCUUGGAUAUUCCCGAGGAUGAUGCUAUGGCUAUCAUCCUCGAAAGACCCUUUUUAAACACUGCAGGGGCUGUUAUAGAUUGCAACAAAGGCAAUGUCACUUUCCAUGUCAACGGUAAGGAGCACACAGUGCACUUUUCGAAGAAACGAUAUCCAGUACAUUGCAUCAAUGCUAUCGAAAAGACUUCAUCGAUUCUCAUUGGGAGCUUUGAAUGCCCUAUUCCUCGUGUCAAGAUGAAGUAUGAUUUGCUUGUUGGGGAGAUACAUAUCCCCAUUGAGGUGACUUAGUGGCUAUUCGAAAAUUCUCCAUUCUCUCUUGCGAUUCGAGAAGGUUUUGUCAUAAGGACUUGAUCAAUCCCAUUGACGGAUUUCUUUCGAUGACCAUGAGACGGAUGAAUCAAAGAGUCACAUACCUCUGUUUUGAGUCUUCAUUUUUUGUUGCUUAGAAGAAAAAUGAUAGAAUUAGUUUAGUUUUUCCUGUUUUCUGUUUUAGCGUCCCGGAGAAAAAUACCUCGAAAAUAAAAGUUCUCCGAUGGUCCUAAAAAAUUAGUAUGAUUUUUUCUGGAUUUUUUGAGAAUUUCUCGGCCUGGGAGCUGGCCUGGGGGCCUGACCAGUGGGCCACAAGCCCCCCCACUGUCACCUACCCCUGGUGGCGGGGUGCAAGCUUGUGGGCCCACAGGCACCCCCUCCACUCAUUCCAGCUCCCAGCCUCUUCUUCCACCUCCAGAAAAAAUUGUUUCGCAGCUCAAACCCGUGUUCUUGCUCAUUUGGCUGUGAUUUUUGAUCUCCUUGCUCAAAGCACCAUUCUCCGAACUGUUUUGGGGAAAUUACUCCUUGGUAAGUGAGUCCUCCAUUGGUCCAAUUAGUUUUUGGUCUAGUUCUUUAUCCUUCGCGAAUUCUUGCUACCUUGGUGACCCUGUUCUUUAGCUAGAAAUGUUGAUUUUAGCUGGUCCCAAGUAGUUUUAGCGUGUGAUACGGUCUCUAGGCACUAGUACGAGUAGUUGCUACAAGCUGGGUUAAUCCUUAUUCACUUUUCUUUCGAAGUCUCUAAAAAAUUCAGAAUUUUUCAGAGUUAGAAAAAGGAAAAGAUGAGGAGGUUCUUGAGAGGCUCUUCAAGCCAUAACCCCAAGGAGGAUGAGAAGACCAACCCCAAGUACGUAGUCCCUCGAGUCACAGAAGUGCGAGCGUGCGAGUGGCCAAGUGGUGAAUUUUUGCGCGCCGCCGGACUUUAUGAAGACUUUUAUUACUUGGUGGAGAACGCAGGUCUUACUGCGUUUGUUGAAGAUAAGUGCCCGCAAUAUCUCCUCCUCACCAAUAUUUUCGUUCAAAGCUUCAACUUUUAUCCGAGGAAGAAUCCUCCCAUGGUUGAGUUCAUGAUAUACGAUGUCCCCCAGUGCAUGACGCUGCAGGAUUUUUGCAAUGUAUGCGAAUUACCUUAUGUUGGGGAUAUCCGUGACCCUCGUCCACGGGACUUGGAGGAUUUCAUUGGUUCUAUUGCUGUUGGAGAGGAGAGAGGAGUGUCUCGCGCUAGAAUUGCUAGCAUACAUUUUUUCUGUGCUUCGGUACUUCUCACUAUUUGUGGGAAAAUGUUUGAUUGGCCGUGGGAGGCUGGAUCACUUAGCUCUCCAGACCUUGCGGUUUUGCGCGAAGGCCUUUAUAACGAUAAGACUUAUAGCCUGGGCGCUAUAGUAGCUCAACGGUUGAACCUGAACCAUUCUAAAGGUGUUGUCUAUGGAGGUAUCUAUGCUACCCGUCUUGCCAGACACUUUGAGAUACCCAUUAGACUAGGAGAGGAAGGAGAGAUGCUUCUCCCUGAGAGAUAUCUGGAUUAUGACAGCAUGGUUCACCAUGAUUUUCUGGAUAGAGAUGCUAGUAGACGGAUGAUUUAUAACUUGGUGUUUAGUCAGGGUACUCGAGAGACUAUUACUUUGCCUGCUCCUUCUUUGUUUGAUCUUCAUGCAGGCAGGUAUACUAUUAUGUGUGCGGACAUCUACACAUAUUGGGGCUUGGCCCAACCACAUGCGCCCGUGCCCGAGCCGACAUUCGAGUACCAGACGCCAGUUUAUCAGUGGGAGCCAGAGGAUCUCACACAGCAGUGGCAUCCACAGUCUGCUCCAGAGUACCCUGGAGCUGGUUAUUUCCCACCUUGGGAGUAGACCAAGCUAGGCCAAAAGCCUAAGCUUGGGGGAGUACGUGUUCUCACCGACUUUACAUUCAUGCUUAUACUUUCACUUUGUUAGCCGGUGUUUACACUUUGCCACUGUAUUAUCCAUGCUAGUUUCUUUUCGUUUUCUUGUUUUGUGUCCUUUUGAGAAAAUCCAAAAAGUUUUUUCUUUCUUCUUUUGCUUGUUGGGAGCUUUCCCGUGUAAAUAGUUUUCUUUUUCUUUGUGUCAAGGUAGAAGAUAUUGGUUACAAUGUUUAUUGGUUCUUGUAUGCUUACCUGUUUAGCUUUCAAAGAGCCAUAUUAUUUUGUAUUCUCCUUUGUGUUUGCGUGCAGAUUCAGCUUAGUCCAAUGCGCUUAUUAUCGUUUUCAUCGUUCAAUCGUGCAAAUGAAAGGCAACAAUGAUGAUAUAUGAUGAAGUGACUGAGACUGAAAAGCUGGUAUGAACUCUAUCUAUUUUGUUUUUGUAAAUAUGACUAGCUUGUCAACCCAGAUUUAGCUUUGUUGUGAGAGAACCAUGUUUGCAAUGACAACUUAGAGAUCAUAGUUUCUGAUGCCAUGCUUAGUUAGCUGAGAGCUUAUAAUGGUUUGUCUUGAUUGCCAACAUAGAUUUUGAGAUGACUAUGAUGUAGUAUGAUAGGAUGGUAUUCUCCUUUGAAUGUUUCAAGUGGCUUGACUUGGUGCAUGUUCAUGCAUGUAGUUGAAAAAAAAUCAACAUAGCCUCUAUGAUGUUCGUAUUCAUGGUGAUUUAUAUCGUGAUCAUGCUUGCAUUCAAUGUUAGUCAAACUCAUUGCAUCUUGAUGACUGUUGUCGCUCUUUAGUUGGUCGCUUCCCAGUCUUUUGCUAGCCUUCACUUGUACUAAGCGGGAAUACUGCUUGUGCAUCCACUUCCAUAAACCCAAAAGUUUUUCCAUGAGAGUCCACCAUACCUACCUAUUUGCGGUAUCUACCAGCCGUUCCAAGUAAAUUUGCAUGUGCCACUCUCUAAACCUUCAAGAAAUAAAUCUGUUUUGCAUGCCCGAACCGCUCAUGUGGUGACAUAGGGCUAUUGGUAUCUUCCAUGUUAGGAGUGUUAUCCUCGACAUGUGUUUAUUCACAGUCAUUCACGAUAAAGGGGCCGGUAUUUGGGAUGCCCAGUUCCACGCUUAAAUCGAAAACAUAACUGUAAAACAAGACUCCCCCUGGAUUGAUGUUAGUAUGGACGGUACCCGAGGAUUCGGCUAGCCGUGGAGUGUGAUUGAUUGGUGGUGGGGGAGUUAAAACUUUACUUUUCUGUUUGGGAACUGCCUAUAGCAUGAGUAGCAUGGAAGAUAUUGAGAACUCUUGGUCAUUCCGUUGACAAUGAAAGCAUGCCACCCAAAAUUAUUAUCUCUGUUUUCAAAGCUUGAGCUCUGGCACCUCUGCAAAUCAAUGCUUCCCUCUGCGAAGGGCCUGUCUAUUUAUUUUCCUGUCGAGUCAUCCUCCUCUUAUAUAAGAACCAAUUAGAGAGCACCUCUCUCAUUUUUAUGCUUUGCUUUUGAUUGAUAUUGAGUAUGACUAUGACUGGAUCUUCGUUGCUAUGAAUUACAAUGUUUAGUCAGCCCUUGAUCUUUGAAAGUGCUCUGCAUUUAUGUUUUGCGGUCUCAGAAAGAGCUAGCGAGAUACCACCUAUUCAUAUUGCUUCAUGCUUGUUUUGAUUGAAGUGUUGGUAUUUGAAACUCAUUAUUAUUUUCUCGUUAGCUGAUUAUGCCAUUGAUAUUAGUUUACCGUGAGACCUUUGUGUCAUUUGCUUACGUGGUUAACUUGUGAUCUUGCUGAAAUUCUGGUUAUGAGUUAGACAUAGUUGCAACAACAAGAUCAAACAGAGUUUGUCAAAGUUCUUCUUUCUCUCUCAGUUUGUCAACUGAGUUGCUUGAGGACAAGCAAGGUUUUAAGCUUGGGGGAGUUGAUACGUCUCCAUCGUAUCUACUUUUCCAAACUCUUUUGCCCUUGUUUUGGACUCUAAUUUGCAUGAUUUGAAUGGAACUAACCUGGACUGGCGCUGUUUUCAGCAGAAUUGCCUUGGUGUUAUUUUUGUGCAGAAAUCAAAGUUCUCCAAACGUCCUGAAAAUUUAUGGGGAGCAGUUUUGGAAAAUAUCAAAAAUAUCUGCGCCAAGUUCUACCUCAGGGGGUGGGCCAGUGGGCCACAAGCCCCUGCUCCGCCACCACCCCCCUGGUGGCGGUGGGCAGGCUUGUGGGGCCCACACGCACCUGCCUCCCCCAACUCUAGGUCUAUAAGUUGCCUUUCGUCCCAGAAAAAUAAAAUAAAAAGAGAGGUUUUCGUCGCGUUUUCGAUACGGAGGUGCCGCCACCUCCUGUUCUUCAUCUGGAGGGCAGAUCUGGAGUCCGUCUUGGGCUCCGGAGAGGGGAAAUCGUCGCCAUCGUCAUCAUCAACCUUCUUCCCUCUCCAAUUCCAUGAAGCUCUUCGUCGUUCGUGAGUAAUCUAUUCGUAGGCUCGUUGGGCGGUGAUGAGUAGGAUGAGAUCUAUCAUGUAAUCGAGUUAGUUUUGAUGGGGAUUGAUCCCUAGUAUCCACUAUGUUCUGAGACUGAUGUUGCCACUACUUUGCCAUGCUUAAUGCUUGUCAUUAGGGCCCGAGUGCCAUGAUUUAAGAUUUGAAAUUAUUAUGUUGUCACCAAUAUAUAUGAGUUUUAGAUCCGAUCUUGCAAGUUGUAGUUACCUACCAUGUGUUAUGAUCCGGCAACCCCGAAGUGACAAUAACCGGAACCACUCCCGGUGAUGACCAUAGUUUGAAGAGUUCAUGUGUUCACCAAGUGCUAAUGCAUUGGUCCGGUUCUUUAUUAAAAGGAGAACCUUAAUAUCCCGUAGUUUUCUUUUGGACCCCGCUGCAACGGGAGGGAUGGACAAUAGAUGUUAUGCAAGUUAUUUUCCCUAAGCACGUAUGAUGACACACGGAAUGCAUGCCUACAUCACAUUGACGAACGGGAGCUAGCCACACAUCUCUCCGUGUUAUAGCUGUUGCAUGAUAAAUAUCAUCCAAACAAAUCACCGACCCAUUGCCUACGAGUUUGUUCCUACUACUGUUACUUGUCUUGCUCUGCUACUGCUGCUACUACUGCUGCUACUGCUGUUACUUGUCUUGCUCUGCUGCUGCUACUAUUGUUCCUACUGCUGUUACUUGUCUUGCUUUGCUGCUACUGUUGCUACUACUGUCGCUUGCUACUGUUGCUACUUGCUACCGUUGUUACUACUGUUGUUCCUUGCCACUGCUAUUGCUCGUUACACUGUUGGUUCACCGGACGUUGACGGGAACUGACAACUUCCGUCAACGUGGCAACAGAGGCGCCAUUGAUACAAUCGUUAGGAAUAGUCUGCCGUCAACAAAUCGUUUCUGACACCGUUGUUAUCAUACUACUUUGUUGUUACUACUGUGCUUGCAGAUACUAAUCCUUCAGUUGUGGUUGAAUCUGACAAAUUCAGCUGCUAAUACUUGAGAGUAUACUCUCACCUCCCGUCGUGCAAACCAACAAAUUGGGUCGAAUACUCUACCCUCGAAAACUGCUGCGAACCCACGUGCUGGUGGGCCAUCAACAACACUCUUCUAGUCUCAUUACUGGGGAGUGCUUUCAGCAUUCUUCUGGUGCCGUUGUAGGAGAAGGUUUGUUGUCAUAAGCAUUCGUCUAGCUAACGUCAGAGAUUGCAGAUCACACGGCUACUAGGCGUGGCUAAGUCCCACGCGGUACAACCGCUAAGAACACCGAUAGUACCCGCUAUACUAAUAUAAUGGUACAACCGGGCCACCACCGCCCAAAUACCGCAGCACAACAGAGUCGUGUCCGCUUGUGGACCAGUGAUGGGUCGGUUCAACCGCCCAGGGGUUGAGCGGUACAAUUGCCCUAGGAAGCGGUACAACCGGUCAGUCGGAGAGGAGGGGCCUCUCUCUCAAUGAUGUUAUGGAACGAGAUGGGUGCAAAAGAGUGUGAGAAGAAUUGAUUCACCCAUAGACUUCCAAUGUAGAUUCCCUCUUAAUAGUACGGGAUCCCUACGACCAAAGAAAAUAAACACGUAGGGAACACGUCUUUGAUCUUUUCUGUUUGGAGGGAAUACAUAACCAUCUUGUGUUUUACAUAUGAUACUUGCACACUUGACACCCAGUUAGAUAACAUAGUGAGUUGCCAUCAUCACCAGAACACUUAAGGUAGGAGAAUGCCCUUACAACUAGGCUCACCCCCUGGCUGCACCCUGAUGGCUUGGGAGCACCUCAUGUGCCCACUGAACUCCAUUUUCUUCCUGGAUUCGUAUUCUGACCUAGAAAAUUCAUUAUAUACUCCUAUAUGUUUUGACUACCGCGUCGCAAGUUUCUUCUCUACCCUUAUUUCGAGCUAUUUUUCUGACUGAUCUAGAUCGUCAUGAUGCCAUCAAGCUCCUCCAAGGACAAGUUCUACGAGAAGGUUAUCAACGCUUACACCCAGAAGGUGAUGAAACACCCUCAAGACAUUCAGAUGUGUUAGGUGGCUUCACUCUCUGGGACACCCUCUGGGACGUUCAAGGGACAAAGUAGGAGGGGAGCGAGAAUGCUAGGCUUGUAGGAGUGGAACAAGAGAUAUUCAAGUGUUAGGGCGGUGGAACGUGGUCUAAGCCCCAAUCACUCCAUGAUCACAGAUUUUAUUCCUGAACACAAGAUGGACAACUAGUAGAUCGCGGAGAUGAUCUUCAAACUCCACGAGAGGCUUCAAGACCUUCAUGCUCAAAUUUAUGAUCUACAAAAUCAAAAUUGUGAGUAUGAAUCUCGUUUCAAGAGGAUGAGCAUAGUUGCAGAUUUUAGGAUCCCAUAGACCAGCUCUUCCUUCUUCAGCGGGGAACCUAUGCCAUGGAAUACGGAUGAUAAGCCCACUACAUCAUCACCACUAUCACCCAAGAAGGACACUUGAGUGCAUGGGUAUGGGCACCACCCUUAGAUUGUUCCAAGCUUGGGGGAGGCGUCCCGAUAUCGUAUCACUGUCACGUUUACAUCGUCAUCUAUUUUAGUUUGAUCCUCGGUUAUUUCAUGAUCUUGAAGAAUAAAAGUUUAGUAUCUUUUUUGUUUAGAGUGUUUGCUUUGUGACCUAUCUAUACCUGUAACCGAGUGUGAGAGUUAUAUAAUAAAUAUUAGUUUGAGUUUGCUUACUUUACUCUCUUGCAUCAAUCGUAGUAAUAAAAUAAAAUAAUUAGAAAGAUCAUAUGCUAAUCCCAUAGGGUGUAAUGACUUCACACACAGAGAAAUAUGUUAAUAAAAGUUGUUGCGAGUUUACAAACAUAGCACUAGUCAUUGAUACAAUCCAUGCAAAUAUAUGAAAUAUGAGAGGAGAUUCACAUACAAAUUUACAAUAUAGGAGAUCUUUUAUGAUUGUGAGCCCCAUUGAAUAUUAUAUAAUGAUUGAAUAGUUGAUGCUGGACAAGGAAGACAAUGUAAUGAUUUAUGUUUGUUUACAUUCACAUAGAAGUUAUGUUGUCAUGGAUUCUCUAACAUGUGGUGAUUGUCUACGAUAUUCUACUAUCCUAAAAAAAUUCACCAAGUAGAGAUACUACUUGUGCAUCCAUAACCCCUAACCUAGUUUCUUGCCAUGGGAGUCCACCAUAUCUACCUAUGGAUUGAGUAAGAUCCCUCAAGUAAGUUGUCAUCGGUGCACAAAGCAAUAAAAAUUGCUCCUAAAUAUUGUUGGAAAUAUUCCCUAGAGGCAAUAAUAAAAUAGUUGUUAUUAUAUUUCCUUGUUCAAGAUAAUCGUUUAUUAUCCAUGCUAAAAUUGUAUUGAUUGGAAACUAAAAUACAUGUGUGGAUACAUAGACAAUACACUGUCCCUAGUAAGCCUCUAAUGGACUAGCUCGUUGAUCAAAGAUGGUCAAGAUUUCCUGACCAUGGACAUGAGUUUUCAUUUGAUAACGGGAUCACAUCAUUAGGAGAAUGAUGUGGUGGACAAGACCCAAACUAUAAACGUAGCAUAUGAUCAUGUCGGUUUACUGCUACUGUUUUCUGCAUGUCAAAGUAUCUGUUCCUAUGAUCAUGAGAUCAUGUAACUCCCAGACACCGGAGGAAUGUUUUGUGUGUAUCAAAUGUCACAACGUAACUGUGUGACUAUAAAGGUGCUCUACACAUAUCUGUGAGGGUGUAUGUUGGGUUGGCAUAGAUCAAGACUCGCAUUUGACACUCCGUGUGACGGAGAGGUAUCUAUGGGGCCCACUCGGUAAUACAACAUCACAAUAAGCUUGGAAGCAAUGUGACUAAGGAGUUAGUCGUGGGAUCUUGUAUUAUGGAACAAGUAAAGAGACUUGUUGGUAACGAGAUUGAACUAGGUAUGGAGAUACCGACGAUCGAAUCUCGGGCAAGUAACAUGCCGAAGGAUACAGGGAACAACAUAUGGGAUGCAUAUCUUGUAUGCUCACUUGUAAUAAAGGGAACAUGUAAGAUUAUGCGCAAUGCAUAUCUUAUAUGCUCAUUUGUUUUACCUGGUUCAUGUGUUGAACUUGGUGUGCUAUCAUAUGUUGAUUUGUCACUUUGAUUUAUUCUGGACAACAUGAAUGAGUGGUGACGUUAUUGGAAGUAUUAAUAGUUAUGUAUUCAUUUGUCAAAUUUGUAUCUCUUUUGAUUUUGAUAGGCUUGUGUAGGCAUAUUUACUAUGUGUAAAUUCCCAUGCCUUAUCUAUCAUAUCCUUUAAAGCUAAGAUGUGCAUGAGAUUAAAAUUCGUAUCUAUAUGCACAUCAUUGAGUGGUUUUUGCCCUAUAUAUUGUAGUUUGACUAACUACUUCGAACUCAAUAAGUUUGGGGGCCAUAUUGUACUUAAAAGUGAUCUAGGUACUUUGGAGAAGCAUUGUUGUUUUGGCUUAUUCAUAAAGAAGGUGGUGCCAUCACGAGGGAAUUAGAGCAAAGAGUACAUUACUCACUCAUUAUUACUCCAUACCAAUGCUUUCUCGGUAACAAGUAUUUACUUCAUGCACGUAUAAAGUGGAGUGAGCCUUGUGUAGGUUGCAUCAUAGCAUGAAAUAGUACUUAUUCUAUUUUGUGUUUUCCUGCAUAUUCUUGAAAACACUCUAUUGCAAUGUUUAGACAAUUGAGUAGAAUCAUCUAAUGGGGAUCUACAAAAUCAUAUUCAUGGUUCAUUCAUCCCAAGACAUGUCAAAUAAGCAACUCAUUGCAUGUCAUUUCCUAAAAUGUUCUCUCAUGUGCAGCUUUUACGAAAAUUCCAAAAACACUAUAAUUGCUUGUAGUAUUGGUAUCUUCGUAGGAAUUCAUGGUCAUGUGAAUGAGAUCAAUUUGUGCCAUGGACCUUGUGCCAUGUGCCUUGCUCUUAUGUUACGAUAUCAUGUGUAUGGUAAUGGAUUUUGUUGGGGGCAGAGUUUAUGCCUAAGUAAUUUUGGUGAUUGAUGACAGUACCGUAAAGGACUAACCGUGUGUGUUAAGGUUUCAGAUAACACACGUCAACGGCACAAGACGACUCGUCUCCUCAUUCAUGGAACGGAAGCACGAUGCUCUCUACGAUUCUCUUUCUUUGAGUCAUAGGAAAGCCGUACUAUUAAGAGGGGAUCUGUAGUGGAAAGGUUUGGGUGGAAUCUAUCUUUGCACGCGCACACUUCACAUAUUCUCCCUUUCCUUCAUCUUUGGAGCGGCCCCCGCCACUUUGUUUCUUGCCUCUUUGCAAAAUGGUCCCCAGCGGUAGUACCGCUCGCUCUAGCGGUAGUAUCGCUGGAGUGCCAGCGGUAGUACCGCUGCAGCCAGCGGUAGUACCGCUAGCUGGCGGUAGUACCGCCCCUGGUCAGCGGUAGUACCGCUCCAGGAGCUUAGUACCGCUUGCCUAGCGGUUGUUCAUGGACGUACCUUUUUGCGAAGACUUUCUUGGCGGUAGUAGUGCUUUUGCACUACCAGGAGCCCAGCGGUAGUACCGCUGGGGCCAGCGGUAGUACCGCUACAUCCAGCGGUAGUACCGCCCCUGGUCAGCGGUAGUACCGCUGGAGUGCCAGCGGUAGUACCGCUGGAGCUCGGGCAGAGAGUGGGAAAACGGUCUGAUUUCCCCCCCACUAUAUAAAGGGUUCUUCUAGCUGAGGAACCUCAUCUCUUACCUCUCUAAGCUCCAUUGUUGCGCCCCAAGCUCAAAAGUGCCCGAUCUCUCUCCCUAGCCAAUCAAACUUGUUGAUUCUUUAGGGAUUGGUUGAGAAGGCCUAGAUCCACACUUCCACCAAGAGAAAAGNUGUCUAUUCACCCCCCCUCUAGCCAACCAUAUCGAUCCUUUCAAUUGGUAUCAGAGCCACGUCUCUUUAUUAAGGGUUUAACCACCCGAAGAGUAUGGAAGGCGAAGAGAGAAUUAACCAUGGGCAACCCGAGGCCAUGGACUUGACUUCGGUCACAAGGGACGACUUGAAUACGGCUAUGGCCGCCCUCAAGACGUCCUUGACGAACGAAGUCAAGACCAUGCUUAAAGAGUUAAUUGAGGGACUUAAAAGUUCACCCGAACUGGCUAUAGUGGUUAAACCCACCAUUACAGAUUCGGAGGCCAACUCCUCUAAGGAAGCGGCUAAAGGUAUGCGACCUGCUUCAUCUCACGAAAAGGAUGGGACUGGAACAUAUGCCUCAGUUCCACCCCCCAUGGUCUAUGGAGGACCCGUUCCCGCACCUCGUCUUAAUCCUGUUGGUCCUCCUCCUAAACUUGUGAAAGGUGACUUUGCUAACUGGGUAUUUUCUAUUAAGUCUCAUUUGAAUCACAGCUCAACAAACUUGUGGAGAAUCAUCGAGCAAGGAUAUUAUCCCCAUGACCCAAGCAACCUCACUCCAAGAGAAGAUGCACACAAUCAAUACAAUCACUCUGCGUUGUUUAUUCUCCAGUAUGCAGUGCCACCUGAAGAUCUUCCCCACUUGUGUCCCUUCACAUUGGCCAAGGAUUGUUGGGAGCAUAUUAUGGUGUUGUACAAGGGAAGCUCAAGCAUUCAGCGAUCCAACUAUGAAGUGAUACUUGAUAAGGCCGAUGAGUUUGUGAUGAAGGAAGACGAAGACCCUCGUGAUCUCUAUCGGAGGGUGACUGCUAUUGCUGUGGCGCUCAAGGAUCAUGGGAGCAAGGAUGUGGAUGAUACAUGGGUCAAGCACAAGUUCCUCAAAGCCAUCAUGCCUUUCAACAAAGCCAUGUCAUCUGUCAUUCGUCAGCGGCCAGACUUCCACUCCUUGUCUUCCAGUGAGGUGUUGGAUGAGUUCAUCGCAAUGUCAAUCAUGAACGAAACAACCGACAAUGCACUUGCUCGUGUUCGAUCAAAGACAACUUCACCCAACCUUGCAUUGAAAGCAAAAGCAAUGCUUGAAGAAGAAGAAGAAGACGAGGAAGAGGAGAGCUGCCCUGAAGACACAAAGUAUGCCUAUCAUGAGCACAUGGCUCUUGCAUCAAGGCAAUUCUGGGGCAACAAGAGGAACUCAAGACCCACCUUCACCAAGAACAACUCGAGUGGAUUCAAACCCAAACAACGAGUAAGGACAUGUUAUAACUGUGGUAACGUGAGUCACUUCGUGGCCGAAUGUCCCUAUGAAAAAAGGGAAGACAACGGAGGCAAGCUCAUUCACAAAGACAAAACCAAGUCAUUUCCAAUCAAGAACAACUUUGUGAAGAAACCUCACCCAAAAGGGAUGGUGGCCCUGGAAGAGUAUCCUUCCGAUGAUGAUGGUGAUGAUGAUGAUACAGUGGCAACGACAACUGUUGCUAUUGCCACUACCCCUUCCCAGAAGGUGUCUCUCUUCAACGCCCCCAACGAGAACCACAUCACCAAGUGCCUCAUGGAAAAAGGUAUCAAUCACGUAACUCUCAUCAUUAAGACCAACAUUGCUUCUGCUCCUUCAUUGUUAAAUUGUGUUGAAGAUAGUGAUGUUGGGGAACUUAAUGAGCAUGAUCUUGAUAAGUUUAUGUGCACUAUUAAGGGAGAACCCAAGAAGCACUUUGUUGCUCUCUUGGAACAACUGGGUGAGGCCACUGACCUCAUUGAGUCUCAUGAGGAGACCAUCUCCGAGCUUCAGGGACAUAGUCGUGACUAUGCCGAUGAAAUUGCUGAAUUAUCUAGUGCUCUAGAAGAGGAGCGCACUCUUCGUUUGGCUCUUGAGGAGUCAUAUAACGAUGACUACGCUAAAAUGCAAAAGAAACUAGAUCAUGAUGUUGUUCUUACUCGUAUGCUUAAAUCUGAAAAGUAUGCUCUUGAGGUUGGCCAUGACAGACUCAAAGAGGAGUUUGACAUACUUGACAAGGCCCACAAAGCCUUGAAAGGUGCUCAUUUCUCUUUGAAAGAGUCUCAUGAUCAACUCCAAGCAAAGCUUACCAAGGAGAUCUCUACUUGUCCUCCCUUUGUGUUAAUUGAUAAUGCUUGUGCAACUAACCCCUGUUGUGAGCAUGUACAUCUUGUGGAGGAAAAUGCCAAGUUGAAGGAGAAACUUGA